GGCUCAAUGGUCUAGUGGUAUGAUUCGUGCUUCGGGCGGUUUCCACAUGGUUCCCCCAUUACUUGUCUCUAUCAGAGAUAAAACAAGUAAACAAGAUGUGCGAGGUCUCGGGUUCGAUCCCCGAUUGAGCCC